ACUAAGCGGAGGAAAAGAAACUAACAAGGAUUCCCUUUAGUAACGGCGAGUGAACAGGGAUUAGCCCAGCACCGAAGCCUGUGGCCAUUUGGUUACUAGGCAAUGUGGUGUUCAGGUCGUUCCGCAGAGACACAGCCCCACUCUAAGUCCAGCACUGAGUACGGUAAUACAGACUUGGCCCAUAGAGGGUGAAAGGCCCGUGAGGGUGGGGGUUCAGUCAUGACUGUGUAUCUCUGGAUAGACCUUGGAGUCGGGUUGUUUGUGAAUGCAGCCCAAAGUGGGUGGUAAACUCCAUCCAAGGCUAAAUACUAGCACGAGUCCGAUAGCGAACAAGUACCGUGAGGGAAAGUUGAAAAGUACUUUGAAGAGAGAGUAAACAGUGCGUGAAACCGCUCAGAGGUAAACGGGUGGAGUUGAACUGCAAGCCUUGAGAAUUCAGCUGGUGAGCGUGGUUUGAGCUUGGUCAAGUUGGUUGUACACUGGGGUCUGUGUAGUAGCAGGUCUCUGCCUUCGGGUGGGGAUGCGCGAGGCACUCAUCAUGUGUUGCGCGCUCCAGAUGUAUUCGAGCCUGUUUGCCAGUGCAUUUUCUCUUGGUGUUCACCAUGACCGGCACUGCUGUCUGGCUGUUGUGGUUAAACCGGUCUUGCAUCGUCCUUGUGGCUUUGCUUGGUCGGGAUGGCAGGUAGCCCGUGGGCUAGUCUGGGGCAACCUGGGCAAUUGGUCUACGGGUGUAAUUACUAGCUGACCAUGAUGGUUCUGUGCAGUGUGUCGGAGACGGCGGCUUUUGGUGUAAGCAUGCGUGCAUUGUUUGCUGGUUUGUUCGGGUUUGGUUGCUAUGUUGCUUGCUCUGCAGGCCUGGCGAUAGCCUGGAUAUUCUGGUGAGCUGUUGCGUGUGUGACACUUUCCAGGGCCAACAGUCUAUGGUGUAGUGGUAGA
rnacentral:rRNA from 1 species